GACCUCGGAUCAGGUAGGAAUACCCGCUGAACUUAAGCAUAUCAAUAAGCGGAGGAAAAGAAACCAACAGGGAUUGCCUCAGUAACGGCGAGUGAAGCGGCAAAAGCUCAAAUUUGAAAUCUGACCCUUCGGGUCCGAGUUGUAAUUUGCAGAGGAUGUUUCGGGUAAGAUUUAGGUCUAAGUUCCUUGGAACAGGACGUCAUAGAGGGUGAGAAUCCCGUACGUGACCGCUGAUCGCACCCAUGUGAAACUCCUUCGACGAGUCGAGUUGUUUGGGAAUGCAGCUCAAAAUGGGUGGUAAAUUUCAUCUAAAGCUAAAUAUUGGCCAGAGACCGAUAGCGCACAAGUAGAGUGAUCGAAAGAUGAAAAGCACUUUGAAAAGAGAGUUAAACAGUAUGUGAAAUUGUUGAAAGGGAAGCGC
rnacentral:rRNA from 1 species